rnacentral:rRNA from 1 species
GACGAACGCUGGCGGCGUGCUUAACACAUGCAAGUCGAACGGAAAGGCCCUGCUUUUGUGGGGUGCUCGAGUGGCGAACGGGUGAGUAACACGUGAGUAACCUGCCCUUGACUUUGGGAUAACUUCAGGAAACUGGGGCUAAUACCGGAUAGGAGCUCCUGCUGCAUGGUGGGGGUUGGAAAGUUUCGGCGGUUGGGGAUGGACUCGCGGCUUAUCAGCUUGUUGGUGGGGUAGUGGCUUACCAAGGCUUUGACGGGUAGCCGGCCUGAGAGGGUGACCGGCCACAUUAGGACUGAGAUACGGACCAGACUCCUACGGGAGGCAGCAGUGGGGAAUAUUGCACAAUGGGCGGAAGCCUGAUGCAGCAACGCCGCGUGCGGGAUGACGGCCUUCGGGUUGUAAACCGCUUUCGCCUGUGACGAAGCGUGAGUGACGGUAAUGGGUAAAGAAGCACCGGCUAACUACGUG